rnacentral:rRNA from 1 species
CCUACGGGUGGCAGCAGUGAGGAAUAUUGGUCAAUGGGCGCGAGCCUGAACCAGCCAAGUAGCGUGAAGGAUGACUGCCCGACGGGUUGUCAACUUCUUUUAUAAAGGAAUAAAGUGAGGCACGUGUGGCUUUUUGUAUGUAUUUUAUGAAUAAGGAUCGGCUAACUCCGUGCCAGGAGACGCGGUAAUACGGAGGAUCCGAGCGUUAUACGGAUUUAUUGGGUUUAAAGGGAGCGUAGAUGGGUUGUUAAGUCAGUUGUGAAAGUUUGCGGAUCAACCGUAAAAUUGCAAUUGAAACUGGCAGCCUUGAGUACAGUUGAGGUAUGCGGAAUUCGUGGUGUAGCGGUGAAAUGCUUAGCUAUCACGAAGAACUCCGAUUGCGAAGGCAGCCUACUAAACUGCCACUGACAUUGAUGCUCGAAAGUGUGGGUAUCAAACAGGAUUAGAUACCCCAGUAGUC